rnacentral:rRNA from 1 species
GAUGAACGCUAGCGAUAGGCUUAACACAUGCAAGUCGAGGGGCAGCAUGGUCUUAGCUUGCUAAGACUGAUGGCGACCGGCGCACGGGUGCGUAACGCGUAUGCAACUUGCCUCACAGAGGGGGAUAACCCGUCGAAAGACGGACUAAUACCGCGUACACUUGGGAUAGGGCAUCCUGACCCAAGGAAAUGAAAUUCGCUGUGAGAUAGGCAUGCGUCCCAUUAGCUAGUUGGUGAGGUAACGGCUCACCAAGGCGACGAUGGGUAGGGGAACUGAGAGGUUGAAACCCCAAAAUGGUAAUGAGACACAGACCAGAAUCCUACGGGAGGCAGCAGUGAGGAAUAUUAGGCAAUGGGCGAGAGCCUGAAACAGCCAAGUCGCGUGAAGGAUGACUGGCUUAUGGAUUGUAAACUUCUUUGAUACGGGAAUAACAAGAGCCACGUGUGGCUCCCUGAAUGUACCGGAUGAAUAAGCAUCGGCUAACUCCGUG